rnacentral:RNase_P_RNA from 1 species
GGGAGCAGGAGGGUCGCUGACAGUGUACGACACUGAGGAAAGUCCCCUCUCCGUGAUGCGAGUGGCUCGACGCAAGUCGGGGGUCCGGGAGGGCCGGCUCUGCAACAGAAACGAACUGCCCCGGGAGUACGAUGAAUCCGCGAGGAGGAGGUUUCCCGACGGUGGCUGGAACGAGCAACCCCGCUGGAGCAAGUCCAAGCAGGCCCGUAGUGCAUCAGCAGGGCCGGGUAGGAUGCAUAGUUGAAUGCGACCAGCCGAAAGGUGAACAGAAAGGGGCUUAUUCCCUGCACCC